AAAGUCAAAUAGCACGUGAAAUUGUUGAAAGGGAAACGAUUAAAGUCAGUCGUACCGAUGGGCAUUCAACUCCUUGAGCGUGAUCAUGUUGGGUGUUGGGGAGCUUAACCGCCCUCGCGUCUGCGUGUUUGUGCUCUUAGGGUGUACUUGUCCGUAUGGUUGGUUAACAUCAAUUUUGGUCGUCAUAAAAUGGCGGGAGGAAUGUAGCUUCGAUCUCGUAUUGAAGUGUUAUAGCCUCUGGCAGAUGUGAUGAUCGGGAUUGAGGAUUGCAACGAACCCUUCGGGGCCACCUGUCUGGCCUCUGGUGGUCUCUCUGGUGCCGAAAGCUUGCUUACGGUCAUCAAAGUUGGUUGCUAAAAGGUUAGAACGGGUUGUAUUCGUUAAGGAUGUUGACGUAAUGGCUUUAAACGACC
rnacentral:rRNA from 1 species